AGUGAACGCUGGCGGUAGGCCUAACACAUGCAAGUCGAACGGCAGCACAGUAAGAGCUUGCUCUUACGGGUGGCGAGUGGCGGACGGGUGAGGAAUACAUCGGAAUCUACUUUUUCGUGGGGGAUAACGGAGGGAAACUUACGCUAAUACCGCAUACGACCUACGGGUGAAAUCAGGGGAUCUUCGGACCUUGCGCGAGUGAAUGAGCCGAUGUCGGAUUAGCUAGUUGGCGGGGUAAAGGCCCACCAAGGCGACGAUCCGUAGCUGGUCUGAGAGGAUGAUCAGCCACACUGGAACUGAGACACGGUCCAGACUCCUACGGGAGGCAGCAGUGGGGAAUAUUGGACAAUGGGCGCAAGCCUGAUCCAGCCAUACCGCGUGGGUGAAGAAGGCCUUCGGGUUGUAAAGCCCUUUUGUUGGGAAAGAAAAGCAGCAGGUUAAUACCCCGCUGUUCUGACGGUACCCAAAGAAUAAGCACCGGCUAACUUCGUG
rnacentral:rRNA from 1 species